GUAAGGAAUAUUGGACAAUGGGGGAAACCCUGAUCCAGCCAUGCCGCGUGAGUGAAGAAGGCCUUCGGGUUGUAAAACUCUUUCAGAUGUGAAGAUGAUGACGGUAACAUCAGAAGAAGCUCCGGCUAACUUCGUGCCAGCAGCCGCGGUAAUACGAAGGGAGCGAGCGUUGUUCGGAAUCACUGGGCGUAAAGAGUGCGUAGGCGGUUAUACAAGUCAGGAGUGAAAUCCCAGAGCUUAACUUUGGAAUUGCUUUUGAAACUGUAUAGCUAGAGUCCCGGAGGGGUUAAUGGAAUUCCGAGUGUAGAGGUGAAAUUCGCAGAUAUUCGGAGGAACACCAGUGGCGAAGGCGAUUAACUGGACGGGCACUGACGCUGAGGCACGAAAGCGUGGGGAUCAAACAGGAUUAGAUACCCGUGUAGUCC
rnacentral:rRNA from 1 species